UGGAGGAGAAGAUCAUCUCUUAACUGUUUAUUUGAAUUCUGUUUUCAGUAUUUUGUGAAUCUUUGUUUCACUGCUUGCAUUGAUGUUAUUUUAGGGACUGUAGUUUAGGCAAAGCAGGUUGUGGAGAAGAUAUUUCACCCCGAUCGGCCUGACCCUGUGGAUAUAGAGCACAUGUCUGCAGACCUGACGGAUUUGCUGAAAACCGGAUUCAGCAUGUUCAUGAAGGUGAGCCGUCCCUACCCAAGUGACCACCCCCUUCUCUUCCUGUUUGAUGGGGGGAGUUACACCUUCAGAAGUUCGUUUGAUUAAAGAUGUUGUGUCAUCACACAAGUCUGCCGUUCAGACAGCAAGAGUAAAUCAAAGACAGAUGGUCGUCAGACAUUAAAACAGAAUAUGUCUGAGGACAACGGUGAUAGGAAAUCUCAAGAAUCAAGAAAGAAGGAAGUGCAAUUAAAAAAACAAAAACAAACAUGUAGUUGAUGUUUAAAAAUGUGUUUUUGUGGCUAAUUGUGUCUUUGAGCCUGUGCUAUAUGACUUUGAUUAAGAAGUAAUAAAAUUAAUCGAAAUGAAAUUUAAUGACAAAGUUUAUUUUAGUAUUUCUUAAUUCAGUGUUUGAUAGUUAUGGGUGAUAGAUGUGUUGGUGUGUUUU